rnacentral:misc_RNA from 1 species
GAUGAAGAACGCAGCGAAAUGCGAUAAGUAAUGUGAAUUGCAGAAUUCAGUGAAUCAUCGAAUCUUUGAACGCACAUUGCGCCCGCCAGCAUUCUGGCGGGCAUGCCUGUUCGAGCGUCAUUUCAACCCUCAAGCUCUGCUUGGUGUUGGGGCCCUACGGUUGACGUAGGCCCUUAAAGGUAGUGGCGGACCCUCUCGGAGCCUCCUUUGCGUAGUAACUAACGUCUCGCAUUGGGAUUCGGAGGGACUCUUGCCGUAAAACCCCCAAAUUUUCUAAUGGUUGACCUCGGAUCAGGUAGGAAUACCCGCUGAAUUUAAGCAUAUCAAUAAGCGGAGGA